rnacentral:ncRNA from 2 species
CAAAUUAGCUAGGGGUGCCUAAUGGCUGAGAAAUGGUGUUCAUUAACCCUCAGACCUGAUCUAGAUAAUUCUAGCGUAGGAAAGCAUUUUUUCUUUAGC